UCAGUUCAAAAUAAUAAAGGUUGUGAGUGUACUGUACAUUUUUGUGGUACACAUUAAGAUUUUAUACAGCCUCUUAACCUACCUUACUUAGACUUAGGUCCUCCCGCGCCGUUCGGCGCAUUGGGCGGCAAGCUGUCUCCAUAAAGAUCUGUCACUGGCAAUGUCUGAAGCCUCCUCCCACCUGGUUUCCACUGUUCUGAGGUCCUCCAUGAAGGUGUGUCGCCAAGUUAUACGAGGACGUCCCUGUUUGCGCUUUCCUCGUUUUGGCUUGCAUGUUAUCGCAACUCUUAGUGUGCGUAAUUCAUUUUGACGUAGAACAUGUCCCGCAAACCUCAUGCGACGCUCAGUCACAACCUCAUUAAGUGUUCGACUCCCAGUUUGGCAUAGGAUUUCCUUGUUUGAGACCCGAUCUGUGUAACUGACUCCCAAAAUCCAUCUCAGCCAUCUCUGUUGAGCCACAUUUAGUCUUUUCUCAAUUUUGACAGAUGACUUCCACGUCUCACAUGCAUAUGUAGCAGUUGGAAUGACGAUUGUGUUGAGAAGGUGUAUUUUUGUCUCGAGUCCAAUGGCUUAGCUAGUCCAAAUAGGCUGCAGCCUUUGGAAAAUGCUCCCUGCAUUUCCUAUUCGGCAUGCAACAUCAUGAGAGAUUUGUGCAGACUCCACCCUGUGGGUCAGCUCAUGAGCAGAAUGAAAUACACAAAAUGUCAGGAGGCAGGAUUGGCGAAGUGGGAAAAUUCUCCAACCUGACUUGAUAAUUACUGAUGCAUUAAUCUUCUAUAUAUUCAGAUGAUGUUCCUACAUGAAGUCAUAUAAAGUACAUGGAUGAAGACGUGCAUAGAGAACUCAACAUGUCAUCUAGUUUGGAAUGUGAAAUAAGCUAGUUUUUUAGUUAUCUUUUUUUUUAAUUUGAAAAAGUAAUCUUUAUCAAUAUUUGUUGAAGUUCUAUUCAAUAUUUUUUUUUAAAGAAUAAAGAGUCUUUUCUAAAAAAGGUGAAAACAAGUUCGAGGAAAUAUUCAUGGCCUUACAGAGCUGAAUUUAUAACUGAGAUGUUAGGAUAAAUGUGAAGUUGGUUUUAAAUAACUGGCAUGUUACAGCUAGUCAUAUUUGUUUAUUUCUAUAUUUCUGAAAGUCUAUGCAUGUUGAUUUGACUAUAAACAUCCUCCCUCAACUUACAGUAUGUUAACCUGACAAUACAUAGCUACUGUGACUUAAUGCAUGUGACCAGACACUACAUUUCCUUUAUUACUUACUGCAUGCUUACCUUACUAUACACUCACAUAGCAACUGAUUGUGUUUUUGUAUAAUAUUGUUUAAAUCUCACGAAAAAUAAUUUUAAUUAUUUGAGAUUUUCAGAAGAAUAAUUAGUCUUUUCUGAUACAGAUCAAACAACAUGGAGGAAACGAUGUAUUUCCAGAACUAAACAUGCCUCCUUGCCAUUGUGAUUGAGGUGAAGUUUAAGUUAUUAGACUUUUAUUGAAUGUUUCUUCAAGCAAUAUGGCAAAAUAAAAACAUUGCAACAUACUGCAUGUUGACUUGACAAUACAAUUAGUUUUUGACUCAUUGCAUAUUGACCUGGAAUAUACAGAUGUAGGGACUUGUUGCUUAUGGAACUGAUUUCUACAAUAUUUAAGGAGACAUACUGUAUAUUGACAUUAGGUGUAAGGAAGUUGAAAAGGUGAUUUGACAACCAUAUUCUACUUAAGAGUAGUCAAAAGCCUUAAGUUCCCAUCUACCUAGCUUAUGUAUAGCUCCUCGUGCCACACCCCAGCAAAUCUUGGUUGAUUGGCUGAAUUACAUGAGUGAAAACAGUUACUGAACAAAAGGAUUUGUAAAGUAAAUUUUGUAUUGAUAAUUUAUGUAUUUGUAUUUUUUUAGCAGAAAUAAAAAAAAAAAAGAUUACAGGGUUUGUAGUUCCCUACAAUUUGUUGUUUCUGUUUUCCUCAGGCCAUAAUGAUUAUUAGACAGAAAAAACAUUUGAAUCAGUCAUUGAAUAAUGACAGGAAGGUAUAUCAAUUUCCUGGCCAUUCUACAUCAUUUUGUUUUUGAAAUUGUGUACAAAAU